CGGACAGUUUUCUAUGUAAGUAGGUUAUUUAAGCCGAAAGCUAUUAUACAUUUAUCAAAUAUUAAACAUCUUUUGUAUUCUGUGAUAACGUUUGAUAUGGUUGAUAGAAAAGCUUGGAAGAACGUCUUUACUGUGCUGUGAACGAGCAAGGAAUGAAACCUCCCGAAAAUGCACGCAGAAAAUUGGCACCCACUUUCAGAAGGAAAAAUAACGGCUCCGGGCCUUUCAAUGUGUUUAUUACUAAUCGUAAGUCAGACCCUUAGAUCUGGUACGGCUCGAAACCCAUCGACUCUGGUGACAGAGCUAGGCCUUUGUCUGAUGGAAGCUAUGUCAUACCUCGUAGUACUCUCUUCGAGAUAUGGCUCAGCAAAAGAGAGAAUUCCGACAAGAACACUGUUAGCAUAGUGUGAUAUAAUGUUGGUACCACUUGUAAGAGUGCGAAUUUUGGCAGCACUGCCUGAAAACCGUUAAUACUAAAGAAGCAAGCGUGCAAUAAAAAACGAUACCUGAAAA